GCGGAGGUUACCAUCCCGGUUAACGGGGAAGGGUACUUGCCACUAGACCCUUACGGCAGGACGGGUGAGUAUGCUUAGAGAAUCUGCCUAUUAGUCGGGGGACAACUGUUUCGAAAGGAACGCUAAUACCGCAUACAGUCCUACGGGAGAAAGCAGGGGAUCAUAUGACCUUGUGCUAAUAGAUGAGCCUAAGUCGGAUUAGCUAGUUGGUAGGGGUAAAGGCCUACCAAGGCGACGAUCUGUAGCGGGUCUGAGAGGAUGAUCCGCCACACUGGGACUGAGACACGGCCCAGAACUCCUACGGGAGGCAGACAGUGGGGAAUAUUGGACAAUGGGCGCAAGCCUGAUCCAGACCAUGCCGCGUGUGUGAAGAAGGCCUUAUGGUUGUAAAGCACUUUAAGCGAGGAGGAGGAGCUUCAGGUUAAUACCCUGGAUGCUUGGACGUUACUCGCAGAAUAAGCACCGGCAUAACUCUGUGCCAGCAGCCGCGGUAAUACAGAGGGUGCAAGCGUUAAUCGCGAUUUACUGGGCGUAAAGCGUGCGUAGGCGGCUAAUUAAGUCAAAUGUUGAAAAUCCCCCCGAGCUUUCACACUUGGGCAACUUUGCAUUUCGAAUACUGGUUAAGCUACGCAAGUAAUGGGGAAGAGGGAUUGGUCAGAAUUCCAAGGGUUGUUAGCGGUGAAAUUGCGUACAGAGAUCUGGGAGGACAUACCCGAUGGCCGAAGGCAGCAUUUUGGGCCCUAUAACUUGGCGCCUGAGGUCACCAAACCAUGGGGGCCCAACCGGUUUACUUCCUGGUAAGCCCAGC
rnacentral:rRNA from 1 species